rnacentral:lncRNA from 1 species
GCCGCGAGAACGCGUGCUCUCGCCGUGCUGAGUUUUUCCGAGAGCCCGAGGCACAGGACUGACAUGCGUCGGGGUCUUUUAAAAAAAAAAUGACUGAAGUGCCGUUGAAUGUGCCAUGUCGUGUCAGUUUCUGCGGUACAGCAAAGUCACCCAGUCGUACGUUCAUAGACACUCUUUUACUCAAAUUAUCUUCCGUCACAGUCUAUCACGAGAGACUGGACCUCAUUCCCUGGGCUGUACAGCGGGACCUCACUGCUUCUCCCACGGCAAGAGAAGAGACCCCAGACCUCUCAAGUGAUGUUUCCGAGGUGCUCCUCGAGCCGACCCGGGCCGGCCCGGCAGGUGCUUCUUGGAGCCGGUUCUCACGCUGACCGUGCAGCCCUCACUACCCUUGGGAAGGUGCACUGAUGGGCAUCCGUAAAGACCGGGUCUGCCUCUCACAGUCCAACGGAAAGGCAAUGAGGCAGCCAUCGGAGAUCUGCAGAUACACAUAAAUACAGGAGAUUUUAAAGCCAUUCUGGAAUAUGCACUGGCCCCUCCCACGUAGUCUCUUGACACUUGGCCGGCGGACCCCGUCUUUGCUCUGUGCCACCCAGAGAGAGCCCACGAAGUCCUCCACGGUUUAUUUCUCCCGUUGGUGAGCGCUGGCUCAUGUUUGCGCAGCAAAGCUCAGCGUCUUGCUGUAACAGCCUCUGGGGCUGCGUGCCCACCAGCCCUCCUUGGAGGAGAGCGCCCGGUCCUGGCUGGGCCGCCCAGAGCACAUGCAGAAGGUCAAGCUCGCAGCGCAGAACCCUAGUUCCAGGGGCAGUGGUAACUUCGAUCACCUUACAUGAAGGUCUGAAGGUCAGCAGGCCCCGCAGGUAGCCUUCGUGUUUAAGAGGCCGGGACCAAAGGUGAAGCCUGCCAGCAACACCAGAGUUGCAUCCCACACUCAGUCCGGCUUGCAAUCGGAGGGCAGGCACGUCACAAUUCUGGUGGAAAGGAUCCAAGAACCCCUGCCUGCUGGACCUGCAGACAGACUCAGAUUCUCCAGGACGAGGCCCCUGCGGAAAGAUGGUGGGAGGAGAGAAGGUGAACUUGGUCCCGGGACUGCAUCAGGAAAAUUCAGUCUCCCGGGUUCUUGCCCACGACCUGCCCGCCGGACCCUCUGGAUCACCAUGACAACCAGAAAACGCCUCCUCCCCACCCACAGGUCCCUGGAACGGACCCCCGCACCCACGGAAACUAGCAUCCCAACUGACCACACUUGGUAGAGGGUGCAACAUAAGAUCGUCUUGCUUCUGUGUCCAGACUAUGGCUCCCCGGGCUCGUUCGGAACACUGGAAGAAGGGCCUCUGUCUCUCCCUGCCACGGACAGUGCCAAUCAGGAGUGGAAAAGAUGUACCGAGAAAGGAUCCGUGCACGUCGUCGACUCGGAGCUGACCUGUGUCACCUGGAGGAUGCUGCCGAAAGUAACCAUGCGUCACCUCCGAGGUCCCGUCGUGGAAGACCUCAAACAACAGGGAUCCUGGGAGUUUGGGGAAAGGAAACUCUCCGAAGGCAUCUGAAGGAAGGAGAAAACACAGGAAGUACUGGCGAAAAGAUGUGAGACCCUCCUGUAAACGUUCCUGAGUCACUUGCAGGCGGCAUCCCCUCUGUUUCCUUCUCUUUGCAGCAGCAGACAGACUCUCAGGAAGACAUCCUGUAUGUGGCCCAUUCUCCGCAGUCAGGACAUCUUGAGCCGUGCGUUGCUCUCUGCUGUACCUUCCAGCCCUGGGGCCUCUGACAUUUACUUUCCUAGUGUGUCCAACGCUCCGAUUUCUUUGAGGAGGGCCCAGCUGUGCUCCAAAGUGCGCUGCAGAAGAAACUACACUGAAUUCUCUAUGAAGGAGGCAUUUUUCUUCCCCCCGUUCUACAAGAUGGAGAAACCGUGGAUCAGAGGAGUUAAGCAAAUCACCGAGGCCACACAGCUGGUGGGACCCCAGCAUUGGUAUGUUUUAAAGGUGCCCCCAAUGAUGAUGACGCCAAUGAUGCUGGUAGGAGCAAUCAAGCUACCAUGACAGGUGACCGUAAUGAUACCUCCUGCUUGCUGUUUCUUUGAGAGCAGUUGGGGGGAGAACAGGACCCCCCAAGGCUAUUCUAUACACACAGGGAGAGGGGAGCACCAAAGGGGAACGGACACUGAUGCUCUUCUCCAGGGACACAGCUCCAAAAAGCCAGACCCGGGAAAGAAGCAGGCGGAGUGGUACCCAUCAAGCAAGUGAAUUCUAUCAGGUCGUCGGAUUAACCUACAUGUGGCUUUGAUCAGACCUCUUCGUGCUCACAGCCUGCACUUUUGGUUGGUACCCCUUCUCAUCCACACAGAAGAAAACCACUCCUCACACACACCUUGAUUUUUUUACCUUGGAACUUCUGACCUCAAAACCCUCUGACCUAAACUCUGUGCUUCCUACGUUACCUGGCUGGGGAGCAUCGCUCUCCUGGCAGUGGAUCUGGGGGGGAAUUUAGAACAUCUGAUGGUGUGACCAGCUAGUCCGUGAGGACGUGAGACUCACAUUGGGAAAGAAUUGUGAUUGACACCGUGAGGGGGAAGUGGCUGGCCUCGGGGUCACAGAGUUUCCCUUUGAAAGGUCCUUCCCGUUUCCUUCCAGCACGCGGUGGCACCGGAUCAGUAUUAAACCAAAGGUAACCACAGGGCUUUCAUACCAAUUAAGUGAGAUUAAAGAGGAAAUGAUUACUAAGAGUUAAAUAGCCAAAAUAAGAGGAAUACUAAUGGUGCUGUAUUGGCACAAAUUAGCACUCAAGGUUGCCAGGAAGGGCAGUAAGAUCCGUAUGGGUAACUCAGCACAUGUUGCCUCACCGUCUCAUCUCACCCUCCCAGCCACUGCCAUUCGUCCUGCUUAUCAGCAAAGGAAGUGCACAAGGGAGUCAAGGCCCUUCCUCCAACACAUGGCCUGAGUGCCGGGCAGAGUCAUCAUUUGAACCCAGCUCUGAUGCUGAAUCAGGACCAGAUACAUCAUUUACAGGCCCCUGGUUUUAAAACGAAUUAAGAAUUUCAAAACGGCAGCAGAAGAGCCUUAAACCAAAUGCAGGGUCCUUCUAAGUGGGGGCCGGGGCCCCACUGAGUCACAGUCUGCAUCCAGGGGAACUCUGUGUCCCUUAAACUUAAAGCUCUAUCUUCGACUUCUGGCCCCCAGAACUCUGAGAAAAUAGAUCAGUGUUGCUUUAAGUCAGUAAGUUCAUGAUACGUUGUUACAGCAGCAACAGGAAACUCAUACAGCUGGCCUGUAAAUGUAUCUACUGCCUCCUGAAGCAGCCUGCUCAGUGUAGGCAGGGACUUGGAGCAGGGCAGCCCUGGGUCGUCCUCCAGACCCCUUCCAUUGCCCAGGAGAACAGGUGUUUAUUACAGUCCCCAGAGAGGCCCUGUCUUUUACGAAUUUCCCCCUUUAAUAAUGUGCUCCAAUGAGUGAGGUAUUGCACUAGAACAAUUUGCUUCUAGGAAUUAAUACACCUAGCAGCAUUAAUAGAACAUGCUGGCAUACUCUGAAAAUUCCACUUCAUCGCUCAUGAGGUUGCCGAAGACAUGGCAGAGGAGUGGGGAUGCUCACUGAGCCACGGAUCCGUUUACCCCAAACUUCCAUUCCCUCCCUCCCUGCUGGGUCCAAACCAGGGCACGUGGGAGCGGGGAGGUCCUUUCCGACUUCACAGACCCUCCCCACCCCACAGAGCCUGCUGACGGGUCCCGCCUGGGGACAGAUGGAAAUUCUCCACCUUCUUGCAAAUUUCCCAGCACCAUUUAGUGACCUCCCUUCCUUCUGAUUUUGAUCCAGACCACAGGUGAUGGGAGGGAGAGGACAGGUGACAGGCAUUGAUGGGCUUCCAGAAGGCAGGGCAUUGACUGGACCAGAAGAGUACAAUUCUUUUUAGAACACACUGAAUGACUGACUUCUGAAAAAAAAUAAGUUUACACCAGAAUAUGCAGAGGGAAGCUGACCCCUCGGAACACCUACAAACAUUCCCAUUUAAACACUCAUUUCAGAUACAUUAUUUUUAAACCAAAUGACGGAGCACCAGGGACACCUACAAUUUGAAGAAAGAAUCCAGGGUUAUCGCAAAGUGGGUAACGACUUCGAGAAAGCAGUGUUGGUUAACAGUAAGAAACGUCAGACUGAGAGGAGAAUUUUGAAAGAAAAUAGUGCUUUAAAAAACAACUGUGCCCUAGAAGAAAUCAUCUCUCUCACGUGCUUUUAGAUAAUGGUCCCUUUGCCAUUUCCACUGAAUUCUUUCCUCCCUACUUUGAAAUAUUACAGUUUGGAAACAUCCCAUAAUGCACCCAACGUAGCCUUUGGGAUGUGUAUUUGAUAAUGACUUUGACUUUCCUCUGCUUGGUGCCCAGUAAUGAGAAAGUGGAGGUUGUCUAUGACAAGACAUGUGCUGGGGUUGGGGGUGGGGGAGGAGGAAGAGAAGGGAGAAGAGGAGAGAAGGGGGGAGAGGAAAGGAAGAAAAAGUCCUAACUCUUGUGAUAAAUUCUAGAACAUCCUCUAAGCCCUUUAUUCUGAAGUCUUGACCUCGUUUGCCCAGAGCAUCGCAUGAUCACCAAUGCUUUGCUCAGGGUGACCCCACCCAUAGAGAAAGAGAGGAUUCAGCCAGAUGCGAACAUUUUAAAAAUGAAUAAGUGACCCUCCCCUAGGAAAUCAGAUUCUGAGUUAGAACCCUCGUCUGGCGUAGCACAUAAGCCCUUAUCUUCUGGGCCCUAAAAUGAACACCCGCUGGUGAAACUGGGAAACGUCUGAGUUCCACUGGCAGACUCAACAGGGCAGGAGAUGAAAAAAAUUAAAAAAGAAAACACAAAAAGCUUGAAAAGGGGAGAGAAACGCAGCCAACGCAGGACAAGCCCGCAUCACGUGAGCUGCAGAGAGCUCUCCUGGCUUUCCGGGAGCUCCCGACAUGGCUCAGCAGUUAAUGAACCCACUGGCAUCCACGAGGACACGGGUUCAAUCCCUGGCCUCGCUCGGUAGGUUAAGGAUCCGGCGUUGCCGGGAGCUGUGGUGUGGGUCGCAGACACGGCUCGGAUUCCGAGUUGCUGUGGCUGUGGGGUAGGCCGGCGGCUGUAGCUCCGAUUGGACUCCUAGCCUGGGAACCUCCCUAUGCUGUGGCUGUGGCCCUCAAAGACAAAAAGACCAAAAAAAAAGUUUUCCUUUCUUAAUUAUUAUUUUUACUUUUAAAGAGCAAGUGGAAGAUGUAUAUUUUGAUGAAGGAUGGUGUGUUUUUUUUUGCAAGUCAUCUGAAGGAUGACUGGACAGCCAAGCAAAGGCUGCUGGAAGCACUGAAUCCCUAGAAUGUGACUUUUUUUUUUUCUUCCUGAGUAGGCCUGUCUGUUUGUUUAGGCAGACUUGGAGUUCGGUUGUUUGGAAGGAUGAACAUCACUGUUUUGUUCUGGAGAGAAGUUCUUGAUGGUGUCUGCUGCUGGUUCUUUAUCCCCACACAUUGACUCGGAUAUUAAAAUUCAGUACUUACAAGAAAGAGUUAAAAACAUGACUAGCCACGCCUCGGUUAAAAUUACAAAUGAGAAAAAAGGAUGCCUCCUACACCAGCUUCCCAAUGUCCCCAUUUCUGUCAAGAAUACCAGGAUUCUUGCCGUGAGCCGAGCGCAAAGCCUAAGCAGCGUUCAUCCCAACAGCCUUUCUAGUCUGAAAAUAUGUCCUGUUGAUUUUUUCCAACCCCUCGAUUGUCUCACGUCCCUUUUCCCACCCUCAUGGACCUACUUCUGGACUUUAUCAGCUCAUGCUGGAAUACAUGCAGUGGCCCCUUAACCACCCCCCCAACCCCCCGCUGUCAUUUCUAACCUCCUCCUUCUGGCACUUCUCUUAUUGCCAGUUAGAUCACGUCCAAUUCCUCGUGAAGUCAUCCAUAAUUUGGGCCACACCACCUGCUCAUCUUGCUCACGUCCUUACCUUGCGUUCACGGUCAUGUGGUCUAUCAGUGAUCUACUACUGAGGAACAAACCAACCCACACCUCUGUGCCUAAGACAACAGACCUUUAUUUUGCUCAUGAAACUGAAGCAGGAAGAUCUCCGUGGAGCCGACUAGUCUGACCCAAGGUCAAGACGGCAGUUUCUGCUCAGCCAGGACUAUGGACAGGCACCUCUUCAUCUCCACCAGUGGCUGGGCUUCCUCAUGGUACGGGGGUUCCCAGGCUCAGCAUCCCAAGAGAACCAGGAGGGAGUUGUGCCACAUUUUAUGACCUAGCUUCCGGAGUCAAGCAAUGUCACUUCCACGAGGCCACUCAGAUUCAAGGGGAGGGGACAUGGUCACCAUCCUUCAAUGGAAGGAGUGUCAAGUCACGGAGUAAAAGAAUCAUGCAGAACGGGAGACACCAUUGCAGUCAUUUUUGGGGAAAUGCAAUCUGCCACCUGCAGCCUAUGAUUGGGGUGAUGGAUUUAGGACAAAUGCCAAGUAACACUUGCCAUCCAGUGGGCAGUGAGUGCAGGGUCACAUGCUCAGAUCUUGGAGUUAUCUGCCUCAUCUUGGAACCAAGACCACUCAGGCCAAUAAAAGCUGUGACUUUCCCACGUCAUGGUUAGUGGCAGAUUGGCCAUCAGCCGGCAGAUUUUUAUUCAGUGGGUUGGGUUUGGAUGAGGGUUUGAAAAUGUCUGCGUUAAAAACUCUCCACGAUGAUUCGCAUGAACAGGCAACUUUGGGGAACAUCAGGCUGGGAUUUAUCUCUCACUGUCCCUGCAGUUGCCAGAGGACACACAGGCAGCUUGUUACCAGAAAUCCAGGAGGGUGUGGGUAUAUCACCGGAAUAUUUAGGGUCCUCUCCAAAUGGCAGCCGUCCUCAUCAGUCCACAGCCCGGCUGCACAAGCUAAUCUCCCUGGAUAAUUAGGCGAAUGACUAGUCAAGUUCCCAUCCUGCCCUGGAGAAACAGGAAUCAGGCACCAACUUGUUGGGGGUAAUUGAAUCCAUGCCAGUGUGCUGGCUCGCUGCCUUUCCCCCUCCAAGGAUUCAAGAGAGUAGCCUGUUGCCACAAGCAGAAGGUUUGGGUACCAGCGGCGACCAGGAACUGGCAGAGGCAAAGGCACCCUUCAUUAUGCAAUUAUCCAUAAUUAGGUGCUCAUUACUAUUUUACGAUCAGAGAGCCAGCACCCACCUGUGCAGGGCUGUCGUGGGGACUGGCGGGGCCGGGAGGCAGAGCCUGGCCUUUUCCCUAAGAACAUGACAUCGAACAUCAGCAGUGCCCACGCAGCAUUGUAAAUCGACUCUACGUUGAUUUAAAUUAAAAAAAAAUUUUUUUAAGAAUAAGGCUAUGACCAAAACAAACAAAAAACCCAAAAAACAAAAACACAAAAUAUCAAAACUCAUUUGGAAUGGGACUUUUAAAGGGUUAGAGGUGGAACUUAGGACUGGCCCUUUAGGGUUAGAGGCAGUAACAGUGACAAUGGCCAAGUGGCUGUGAUCUUUCCUAGAAGGUGCGACCCAGAAUGUGAACCUGAUUUUGUUUUUUGUUUUUUGUCUUUUUGCAUUUGUCUAGGGCUGCUCCCACGGCAUAGGGAGGUUCCCAGGUUAGGGGUCAAAUCGGAACUGUAGCUGCUGGCCUACACCACAGCCACAGCAACACUGGAUCCUUAACCCACUGAGCAAGGCCAGGGAUCGAACUCGCAACCUCAUGGUUCCUAGUUCGAUUCAUUAAUCACUGAGCC